GCCUCGGUAGUCGAAAGGUAAGAUGCCUGCCCGGUAAGCAGGAGAUCCAGGUUCGAUUCCUGGCUGAGGUG
rnacentral:tRNA from 1 species